ensembl:lncRNA
GAGAGAAGAAGAAAGAGCCCGGUUCCUGGAGCUAUGGCCAGACUGUGGGGAGCCCGAGAAGAUGAUCCAAGAACAAGCUGGGAAGGUACAGUGGCAGGUCUUCAGCUUGUCUUCGGGGAGAGGAAACCCAGGAGGGAGGAAAAUUAUGGGCAAGGAAGAACAUCAGACAACAAGGAAUUAAUGUGGUGGACGACUCCCCUGCUGAUGACUUGGAAGAAUCUGUUAAACAAACCAAAUAUAGUUUCUCUCUUCCUUUCUACUCCCAGACAUAUUAAUGUAAAAAUAGCUGAUGAUGGAUCAACCUUUCUUUUUCCAUAAAUUUAUCCUGGCAGGUUCUUUGAGAUCUAGUUGCUCUGUGUAUAAUUGAACAUAGGAAGAAUUUGCUUUUAAGCAUCACUUCUCUCCAAGCCACAGAACUGUGUUUUGAGAGGCCUCUCAUUUUGAUGUUUGCACUGUAAUAAAAGUGUGGAAGAGGAGUGCAGAAAACUGCUACAAAAUCACUGGAGAAACUAUCUAGAAAUGAGACUAUGAGUCUAGCCCAGCCUUUCCCAGAUGUUGUCGAGACUGCAGCUCCCAGAAUUUCUAAGUGGCUUGGCCAGAAGUCAUGUUAGGAGAACAGUAAGUUGGAAAAAAAUACAUAAGUAGCUGGAAGUUUUGUGGGGUUGUUGUGUAGCUUGACACCUGUGGAACUUUGGGAAAGGUAUUGUCUACCAGGUAACAAUCACCAAAUUAAUGUCAUCAGGAUAUUAAUAUAUGAGUAUCAGUAGGAUGUUGCGCCCAUUGUUGCCUCACGAUAACAAUUCAACACAUUCUUCCAAUAUAAGACCUUUCAAAAUUGUCUGUCACAGAUUUAUGCUUUUAAGAUGUUCCAAAGAAGUGCUUAGUCAUUUCAUAUGUAAUUUACCCAUUAGCUGAUCAAAGAAGUCUUGAGUAUUAUGAAAUGUCUGCUUCUGUCUGAAGAUGCAUUGUGCGAGGACAGAGUUUGAGUCUUGUUUCUCCAGCCUUGGUAGAAUCUGAAUCUGAUCGCUCUGAAUCAAAAACAAGGGGGUGCGUUGGUAGCCAAUCUGUUUUAUGACCACCUGCUUAGGGGAGACUGUGGUUUCAUUAUCCGGUGGAAAAGCAGAGUUUAAUUAGUCAUGUGUAAGUCUGGGGAAAUGAAAGCAGCUCAGUAAUUAGCAAUCAGCCACUACUGCUAAUUGUACGGGGUGUGCCAUGUUUUUCAUAGGAAAGAGGUGGGGAGGAGCAGAUAUUUUGCUCCAUGUUAAUUGCAUAUGCUUUGAUAAAUUUUUACUGUGGCCUGAAGCCAGACAGACAAACAAACAAACAUACAGAGAAGGGGCCGGGGGGAAUCAAGCCAAGUUUAUAAGAUUAGACCUUGAUCUUUGGGAAGUAUCUUCUGUUGCAUUCUUGCAAAUGUUAGAGACAUUUAUUAAUGACCUGCAAGUUUUUGUAGGCUAAUAGGACAGCCACGUAGUAAUCAUCUGACUGCCCUGGAAUUGUUGCUAGAAAAGGAAAAAAAUUUAACGUUGAUGUCAACCCAGAUAAAAACUGCAGUGUAAUAGCUUGUGUGCAAUAAUUUUAUUUCUUCCAUGCCGUAAAGAAGGAGGCAGCAAGUUGGAGGAAACCUAUAUUAAAGCAUCUUCUUGUGAUAACAGAGGGAAGGAUUUUGAAAUGGGUGCUUGUAAACAUCCAGCAAUAUUUAAAUCCAGCAACAUUUAAGGUAGAUAGUUGUCUAAAAGUGAGAUGCCACCACUCAAGUAAAAUUGAGGCAGAACUGAUUUUCAAUUCUGGAUCCAGGAGAUGUUAUAUCAUAUGUAACAAGUAAGAAAUGGAUUACAUUCCAUUUCUUUUCCCAAUUGAAGCAUUUUUAGAAACUAUUUACAAAACACUCAUUUUUAUGAGCAACUUUCUAUUAGAUAUACAUUUCCAUGUAGGUAUCUGGGGCACAGCAGAUGGCAACCCAUGCAGGAUGUUGUGUCCAUGCCAUGGUGGACACAACAUCGAUACUUGCGUUAGAUAUGGGGGUACAAGUGUGCAAUGGCAGCAUUUUCCUGAUCACACUGUUGUCCCUGCAUUGUUUUGGAAUCAAUAAUCAGUGCAUCUUAUAUAUAGGCAAUAUGUGAAUGGGAAUUGCAUCACCAAUGUUCAGAAAGGUGAAGUCUGAAAGAAAAGUUUUCCAUCUGCGUUCCGGUUUGGGAAGAAAUUGUUUCAGUUGUCUUAAAAUGGAAUGGGAUGGGAUGGGAUGGAUGGAUGGAUGGAUGGAUGGAUGGAUGGAUGGAUGGAAAAGAGAGAAGGAAGACAGAAAGAGGGGGAAAGGAAGGAGAAAGUGAGAAGGAAGGAAGGAAGGAAGGAAGGAAGGAAGGAAGGAGGGAAGGAGAAAGUGAGAAGGAAGACAGAAAGAGAAGGGAAAAAAGGAGAAAGUGAAAGGAAGGAAGGAGAAACUGAGAAGGAAGGCAGAAAGAGGGGGCAAAGAAGGACACUGUUAUGUAUGUAGGUUUGAAUGUUAUUGGUUUAUUUGAACUGUUCUUGUAAAAUGUCAAAUGGUAUUGGUUUAAAUAGUGCGGGAAGAAACCCUGCACUCCCAUUGGCUGGC